rnacentral:rRNA from 1 species
UGCCAGCCGCCGCGGUAAUACGGAGGGUGCAAGCAUUAAUCGGAUUUAUUGGGUUUAAAGGGUGCGCAGGCGGCUUAUUAAGUUAGUGGUGAAAUCACCCGGCUCAACCGGGUACCCGCCAUUGAUACUGGUAAGCUUGAGUAUGUUCGAGGAGAUUGGAACGUGUAGUGUAGCGGUGAAAUGCAUAGAUAUUACGCAGAACACCAAUUGCGAAGGCAGAUCUCUGGGACAUAACUGACGCUGAGGCACGAAAGCGUGGGGAGCGAACAGGAUUAGAUA